CUUCAGAGCCUCAGGCAUCUAGCCAAGCCGUUACUCUUCCUUUUCUUAACACUCUGAAAAAUUGUCUUACAAAACAAAUACCGUUCACAUAAUAUCUCAUUAUCUCUCUUUCUCUCCCUCUCUCUCCCUUUCAGCCUCUAGAUGAAUCAAAACACUCUUAAAUAAAGGGAGAGGAGGAGAUGGUGCAGGAAUCUGCACAGGAGGGGCUGAGGAUGGAACAGGAAGAUGAAGUCAACCAGCCCCGACCUCUUGGCUGGAGCACCACUGAGACUAUUUCAGAUUGUCACAGCUGAGGGUAGUUUAGGGGAGGGGCCUGGAUCACAGCUGUUGCUUCUCAGAGGGGUUAAGUCACUGAUGUUCUAAAUGUUGCCCUUUCUCAAAAAAAUAUCAUACUGCAAUUCUGAGUAAGUUUUCAGAGGCACAGAAAAUCCAUGUUCUGUGCUCUAGUACUGACCAAUACAAGGCCAAAAUCUUUCAUUCUCCAUCUCUCUCUCUCUCUCUUUCUGUCUCUCUCUCUCUCUCUCUCUCUCCCUCCCUCUAUAUAAUUUUUUUCUUUAUUGCUAGCAGGGCUAAUACUGGAGUUCAGUACCUGCCUGAUGAACUCAGUCCUCCUGGUGCCCAGAAUUUCUCUUCUUUCCUUUUCUAUUUAUUCAUGAAUAUGACUAUUGGAUAUGGCAGAGAGGAGCCGAGACACUUUCCCCCUGCAGAUUCCAGGAUGGAGUCCCCAGGUGCUGGGGCUCAGGACUGUUUGCUGCCCCCAUGCCGCACCCCCUGCUCCAAGGUCCUGGAGCUGACAUUCAGCUCAGAGCCCGCCCUCCUUGCUCUCUGCAGUGUCCCUGUCCCAUGAGAGAGCAGUGAGUCCUCUCAGCACAGGUACAGCGAGGUGAAGCCUUCCCUCACCUAAGCAUUGUGUUUUCCUUAUGUCUGUGGAGUUUGAAGGUUGUGUAGCAGUGAUACCCACACCAGUGUCAAGAUUCCCAUCAAACAUGAAGCUUCCAGGACUCAGAAAUCGAGUGCUUUGAUUUUCAUGACUUCUGAUGUGAAACAUGCUCUCCAAGUGCAACAUGAGGUCAAACGCCUUUUGAAAUGUGACAUUCCUUCCACCCAGAUGACAUUCUAGUCUACUGACAGGAGGUCAGGACAACUAGGAACACGCCUCUGGGCCACAAACAUGGGGUCAGGAGGGCACCAGCCUGCAGCCUCCUGGAGGAUUUUCUGAAUAUCUGCUCAGGGCCAAAGCUGUAACAGAUUUUUCAAAUCGCCUCUGGACGCAGGAGCCAGGCUGGCAGGUGAGGGGUGGGGCUGUGAUUUCUGCUGGAGGCUCCUGCCACAGCCAGUGGAGGCACACAGCUUCCCUGCGUCUCUCAGUAGCAAGGGUCUGGCUCAGAGGCUUGGAAGCUCCUGGAUGCUCACACACAGCUACUUCUCAUCGGAGUGUCCUCUGUAACCCUGUCUGGGAAUCUCUAAGUGGGAUGCGUGGACCCCUGGACACCAUCUGUCCCCUGUGAGAGGCCACAGGAGCAACUUCCUUAGCAGAACCCAGCAGAGCCCUGCUCAGCCCUGCAUCGGUGAGCCAGGACCCAGAGAACUCCAGGUGACUUUUAUUUCAGAUGGAAAGAGAGACGGAGGGAAGAACUCGCAGCUCUGAAGCUUCCUCCUUCAGAGGCCGUGUCUUGCCGUCACCCAGCGGGCAUCUCACCUCCUCACAGGUCAGAAACCAGUUCUGUGCCCACCAUGCCCUGGAGUUCUGUUUGAUUUCCUUGUCUGAAAUAGUCUCUUGUUUUGUCAAGUCGGCAUUCAAAUCUUCAAUAAUCUUGACAGGUAGGAUGUAGGCGAGUAGGCAGAUAGGUAUGUGAUGCUUACAUACACAGAUGUAGGGAAUUCUUAAAAAGAAAAAAAAAUAUAUAUAUAUUUGUAAUGAGAGGGAAGUAAGGAGGGAGCAGGUGAGAGAGAGCAUGUGCGUCACUCUGGACCAUGUGGUGCCUGGCGUGGAACUCGCCUGCUAGAGGGCCCGGCACUGUAGCCGCUGUGCCACCUCCUGAGCCCCGUGGCCGUGAGGCGUCCGAGCGCACGGUUUGCACGGACAUUGUGCAGCUCUCAGCUGGGCCUCACGGGGGAGUGAUUAAGGUUUGCAAAGACCUUCAAACGAGUGCGCUGGAUAGAUUUCACCUGGGGGAGAAGCCCUGCUGACCAGAGGGGAAGGAGGAGAAAACACCUAGGAGACGCCGGGACGGGACAGACAGACAGAAGACGGUGGAGGAAGAGGGGACCGGCAUCUCCGCUUAGGACAACACAGUACGUGCUGUUUCCUGCAUCUGUGAAAUCUUUUGUAGAAAAACAGAGAUGGUGAAGCUGCCAUGGGGGAGGAGUGGGGGGGCUGUCAGCAGUCUCACAACGGCCUGGGCUUUCCACAGGGCAACCUUGGGCUCAGCGAGUCUGGAAUCUUUUGCCAUCACCCAGAAAACUCUGGGUCCCUGGGACACUUGACUGCAGUUUGCUCUUGGCCCAUCAUAUGCUCCUGAAUCCUUAAACCUUUCUCCUCAGAAAAGCUCUAAGAUCUGUCUCUCGGCUGCACUCAAGACCCAGGCGCCAGCUGCCGUGCCGGGUAGUCAGAGAGCCGGUGCCGAUCCCACAGGGCCCGGGACACAGGUCGAGCUUUAUCCCGGGACCUGCUUUCUGCCCUGUUCCAGCCUGUCCUUCCACCUCUGGGGCUGAAAACUAAAAUCAUUAAUCACUGUGGUUGUGUUCACGGCAGACUUUUUGUCCGAGAACUCAGGGAACAGCAGAGCUAGGAUUUUCCUCACUUUUAUUUUAUCUCUGCUUCCUGGUGUGUCACUCAGCCCGUCCCCUCCUGCCACUCUCAGCAGUCUGGAUGGCAGAGGAGGCUGGAGUCCAGCAGCAGAGGACAGAGGACGCCCUGCAGACUCCUGCAGUUUGUACUGGAAAGACAAAAACUCACCUCAGGGAAUCAGACCUGGAGAGGUUUCAUGGUUUGUGAGUUUCUCCUGUGGUUUAAGCAACAGGUUUCUAGGGGGCUCCCUCCUCCCAACCCCCUCCCCAUCUUUAUUUAAUGAGAGUUAAUGAAAAUAAAAC